AUGAACGCUGGCGGCGUGCCUAAUACAUGCAAGUCGAGCGAACAGACGAGGAGCUUGCUCCUCUGACGUUAGCGGCGGACGGGUGAGUAACACGUGGAUAACCUACCUAUAAGACUGGGAUAACUUCGGGAAACCGGAGCUAAUACCGGAUAAUAUAUUGAACCGCAUGGUUCAAUAGUGAAAGACGGUUUUGCUGUCACUUAUAGAUGGAUCCGCGCCGCAUUAGCUAGUUGGUAAGGUAACGGCUUACCAAGGCGACGAUGCGUAGCCGACCUGAGAGGGUGAUCGGCCACACUGGAACUGAGACACGGUCCAGACUCCUACGGGAGGCAGCAGUAGGGAAUCUUCCGCAAUGGGCGAAAGCCUUACGGAGCAACGCCGCGUGAGUGAUGAAGGUCUUCGGAUCGUAAAACUCUGUUAUUAGGUAAGAACAAAUGUGUAAGUAACUAUGCACGUCUUGACGGUACCUAAUCAGAAAGCCACGGCUAACUACGUG
rnacentral:rRNA from 1 species